UAAUACGUAGGUGGCGAGCGUUGUCCGGAAUUACUGGGUGUAAAGGGCGUGUAGGCGGGACUUUAAGUCAGAUGUGAAAUACCCGAGCUUAACUCGGGCCGUGCAUUUGAAACUGAGGUUCUUGAGUGGUGGAGAGGAAAGCGGAAUUCCUAGUGUAGCGGUGAAAUGCGUAGAUAUUAGGAGGAACACCAGUGGCGAAGGCGGCUUUCUGGACACUAACUGACGCUGAGGCGCGAAAGCGUGGGGAGCAAACAGGAUUAGAUACCCUGGUAGUCCACGCUGUAAACGAUGAUUACUAGGUGUGGGAGGUAUCGACCCCUUCCGUGCCGCAGUUAACACAAUAAGUAAUCCACCUGGGGAGUACGGCCGCAAGGUUGAAACUUAAAGGAAUUGACGG
rnacentral:rRNA from 1 species